rnacentral:snRNA from 1 species
CUUCCCAAUUAAUAGUAUGGAU